rnacentral:rRNA from 1 species
GAUGAACGCUAGCUAUAGGCUUAACACAUGCAAGUCGAGGGGAAACGGCAUUAUGUGCUUGCACAUUUUGGACGUCGACCGGCGCACGGGUGAGUAUCGCGUAUCCAACCUGCCCUUUACUUGGGGAUACCCCGUUGAAAGACGGCCUAAUACCCGAUGAAAUUCAUUGAUGGCAUCAGAUAUGAAUAAAAGAUUUAUCGGUAAAGGAUGGGGAUGCGUCUGAUUAGCUUGUUGGUGAGGUAACGGCUCACCAAGGCGACGAUCAGUAGGGGUUCUGAGAGGAAGGUCCCCCACAUUGGAACUGAGACACGGUCCAAACUCCUACGGGAGGCAGCAGUGAGGAAUAUUGGUCAAUGGGCGCAAGCCUGAACCAGCCAAGUAGCGUGCAGGAAGACGGCCCUAUGGGUGGUAAACUGCUUUUAUACGAGAAUAAUUUGAUGCACGUGUGCGUUAUUGCAUGUAUCGUAUGAAUAAGGACCGGCUAAUUCCGUG